GCCAGUUUGAGGUUCAGGCUGUUCCUA
rnacentral:sRNA from 1 species